GGGGAUUUAGCUCAGUGGCAUAAGCACCUGCCUUGCAAGCAGGCGGUAGUUAAGUUCAAUCCCUG
rnacentral:tRNA from 1 species